rnacentral:rRNA from 1 species
CGGCGGACGGGUGAGUAAUGUAUGGGGAUCUGCCUGAUGGCGGGGGAUAACUACUGGAAACGGUAGCUAAUACCGCAUAAUGUCUACGGACCAAAGCGGGGGACCUCCGGGCCUCGCGCCAUCAGAUGAACCCAUAUGGGAUUAGCUUGUAGGUAAGGUAACGGCUUACCUAGGCGACGAUCCCUAGCUGGUCUGAGAGGAUGGCCAGCCACACUGGAACUGAGACACGGUCCAG